rnacentral:rRNA from 1 species
ACUGGCUGUACCUUGACGGUACCUUAUUAAAAAGCCACGGCUAACUACGUGCCAGCAGCCGCGGUAAUACGUAGGUGGCAAGCGUUGUCCGGAAUUAUUGGGCGUAAAGCGCGCGCAGGCGGUCCUUUAAGUCUGAUGUGAAAGCCCACGGCUCAACCGUGGAGGGUCAUUGGAAACUGGGGGACUUGAGUGCAGAAGAGGAAAGUGGAAUUCCAAGUGUAGCGGUGAAAUGCGUAGAGAUUUGGAGGAACACCAGUGGCGAAGGCGACUUUCUGGUCUGUAACUGACGCUGAGGCGCGAAAGCGUGGGGAGCAAACAGGAUUAGAUACCCUGGUAGUCC